UUAAAUUGAAGAGUUUGAUCAUGGCUCAGAUUGAACGCUGGCGGCAGGCCUAACACAUGCAAGUCGAACGGUAACAGAAAGCAGCUUGCUGCUUUGCUGACGAGUGGCGGACGGGUGAGUAAUGUCUGGGAAACUGCCUGAUGGAGGGGGAUAACUACUGGAAACGGUGGCUAAUACCGCAUAACGUCGCAAGACCAAAGAGGGGGACCUUCGGGCCUCUUGCCAUCAGAUGUGCCCAGAUGGGAUUAGCUUGUUGGUGAGGUAACGGCUCACCAAGGCGACGAUCCCUAGCUGGUCUGAGAGGAUGACCAGCCACACUGGAACUGAGACACGGUCCAGACUCCUACGGGAGGCAGCAGUGGGGAAUAUUGCACAAUGGGCGCAAGCCUGAUGCAGCCAUGCCGCGUGUAUGAAGAAGGCCUUCGGGUUGUAAAGUACUUUCAGCGGGGAGGAAGGUGUUGUGGUUAAUAACCGCAGCAAUUGACGUUACCCGCAGAAGAAGCACCGGCUAACUCCGUGCCAGCAGCCGCGGUAAUACGGAGGGUGCAAGCGUUAAUCGGAAUUACUGGGCGUAAAGCGCACGCAGGCGGUCUGUCAAGUCGGAUGUGAAAUCCCCGGGCUCAACCUGGGAACUGCAUUCGAAACUGGCAGGCUUGAGUCUUGUAGAGGGGGGUAGAAUUCCAGGUGUAGCGGUGAAAUGCGUAGAGAUCUGGAGGAAUACCGGUGGCGAAGGCGGCCCCCUGGACAAAGACUGACGCUCAGGUGCGAAAGCGUGGGGAGCAAACAGGAUUAGAUACCCUGGUAGUCCACGCCGUAAACGAUGUCUACUUGGAGGUUGUGCCCUUGAGGCGUGGCUUCCGGAGCUAACGCGUUAAGUAGACCGCCUGGGGAGUACGGCCGCAAGGUUAAAACUCAAAUGAAUUGACGGGGGCCCGCACAAGCGGUGGAGCAUGUGGUUUAAUUCGAUGCAACGCGAAGAACCUUACCUGGUCUUGACAUCCACGGAAGUUUUCAGAGAUGAGAAUGUGCCUUCGGGAACCGUGAGACAGGUGCUGCAUGGCUGUCGUCAGCUCGUGUUGUGAAAUGUUGGGUUAAGUCCCGCAACGAGCGCAACCCUUAUCCUUUGUUGCCAGCGGUUAGGCCGGGAACUCAAAGGAGACUGCCAGUGAUAAACUGGAGGAAGGUGGGGAUGACGUCAAGUCAUCAUGGCCCUUACGACCAGGGCUACACACGUGCUACAAUGGCGCAUACAAAGAGAAGCGACCUCGCGAGAGCAAGCGGACCUCAUAAAGUGCGUCGUAGUCCGGAUUGGAGUCUGCAACUCGACUCCAUGAAGUCGGAAUCGCUAGUAAUCGUGGAUCAGAAUGCCACGGUGAAUACGUUCCCGGGCCUUGUACACACCGCCCGUCACACCAUGGGAGUGGGUUGCAAAAGAAGUAGGUAGCUUAACCUUCGGGAGGGCGCUUACCACUUUGUGAUUCAUGACUGGGGUGAAGUCGUAACAAGGUAACCGUAGGGGAACCUGCGGUUGGAUCACCUCCUUACCUUAAAGAA
rnacentral:rRNA from 2 species